CAUCUGGAAAGAUGAAUCAAAGAAGGUAAUAAUCCUGUAGUCGAAAAUGUUGUCUCUCUUGAGUGGAUCCUGAGUACGACGGAGCACGUGAAAUUCCGUCGGAAUCUGGGAGGACCAUCUCCUAAGGCUAAAUACUCUCUAGUGACCGAUAGUGAACCAGUACCGUGAGGGAAAGGUGAAAAGCACCCCGGAAGGGGAGUGAAAUAGAACCUGAAACCGUGUGCUUACAAGUAGUCAGAGCCCGUUAAUGGGUGAUGGCGUGCCUUUUGUAGAAUGAACCGGCGAGUUACGAUUUGAUGCAAGGUUAAGCAGUAAAUGUGGAGCCGUAGCGAAAGCGAGUCUGAAUAGGGCGUUUAGUAUUUGGUCGUAGACCCGAAACCAGGUGAUCUACCCUUGGUCAGGUUGAAGUUCAGGUAACACUGAAUGGAGGACCGAACCGACUUACGUUGAAAAGUGAGCGGAUGAACUGAGGGUAGCGGAGAAAUUCCAAUCGAACCUGGAGAUAGCUGGUUCUCUCCGAAAUAGCUUUAGGGCUAGCCUCAAGUGAUGAUUAUUGGAGGUAGAGCACUGUUUGGACGAGGGGCCCCUCUCGGGUUACCGAAUUCAGACAAACUCCGAAUGCCAAUUAAUUUAACUUGGGAGUCAGAACAUGGGUGAUAAGGUCCGUGUUCGAAAGGGAAACAGCCCAGACCACCAGCUAAGGUCCCAAAAUAUAUGUUAAGUGGAAAAGGAUGUGGCGUUGCCCAGACAACUAGGAUGUUGGCUUAGAAGCAGCCAUCAUUUAAAGAGUGCGUAAUAGCUCACUAGUCGAGUGACACUGCGCCGAAAAUGUACCGGGGCUAAACAUAUUACCGAAGCUGUGGAUUGUCCUUUGGACAAUGGUAGGAGAGCGUUCUAAGGGCGUUGAAGCAUGAUCGUAAGGACAUGUGGAGCGCUUAGAAGUGAGAAUGCCGGUGUGAGUAGCGAAAGACGGGUGAGAAUCCCGUCCACCGAUUGACUAAGGUUUCCAGAGGAAGGCUCGUCCGCUCUGGGUUAGUCGGGUCCUAAGCUGAGGCCGACAGGCGUAGGCGAUGGAUAACAGGUUGAUAUUCCUGUACCACCUAUAAUCGUUUUAAUCGAUGGGGGGACGCAGUAGGAUAGGCGAAGCGUGCGAUUGGAUUGCACGUCUAAGCAGUAAGGCUGAGUAUUAGGCAAAUCCGGUACUCGUUAAGGCUGAGC
rnacentral:rRNA from 1 species